AUGUUGCAGAAGAGAAUCCAGUACCUCCACAGGCAUAUUCUCACGCAGCGCGGGUCUUUAGGAAAAGCCCUACUGAGGGCUGUACAACGAAACAGGAUAGACCAACCACAUGAUGGCAUUAUACCAAUAUUGGCCAAACACCUACCAGGGGGUGCCAUCAUAGCCAGGCUCCUGGAUAUCGGUAAAAAAUCUUGCGUGGCCUGUGGGAAAGUGUUGAAGACGAGAGGUCAUGAUGACGAAGUGCAUAUCUGCCCUACCCCUCGCUGCACAGGCCAUUACUGCUCGCUGUGUUUCAGACUGAUGGGGAAUCUCUGUGCUAUCUGUACGGCACCCCUCACAUUCCACGCGGACCAAGAGCUGUAUGUCACAUGA
rnacentral:lncRNA from 12 species